rnacentral:rRNA from 1 species
CCUACGGGAGGCAGCAGUGAGGAAUUUUCCGCAAUGGGCGAAAGCCUGACGGAGCAAUACCGCGUGAGGGAUGAAGGAUUUUGGUCUGUAAACCUCUUUUCUCAAGAAAGGAGUUCUGACAGUACUUGAGGAAUAAGCAUCGGCUAACUCCGUGCCAGCAGCCGCGGUAAUACGGGGGAUGCAAGCGUUAUCCGGAAUGAUUGGGCGUAAAGCGCCUGUAGGUUGUUUAUUAAGUCCGUUGUUAAAGCCUAGGGCUUAACCCUAGAAAAGCAAUGGAAACUAGUAGACUAGAGUAUGGCAGGGGUAGAGGGAAUUUCUAGUGUAGCGGUGAAAUGCGUAGAUAUUAGAAAGAACACCGGUGGCGAAAGCGCUCUACUGGACCAUUACUGACACUCAGAGGCGAAAGCUAGGGUAGCAAAAGGGAUUAGAUACCCCUGUAGUCCUAGCCGUAAACGAUGGAUACUAGAUGUUGUGNAUAUAGUACUAGUAUACGUAGUACGUACGUACGUUAAGUAUACCGUCCGUCGGGUAGGUACGUCGUCGCGAGGUAGGAACGUACAAAGGAAAGUUAGUACGGACGUGAGACGUGCCGAACGGACGACGACGAGGGAAGGUAGG